rnacentral:sRNA from 1 species
GCCACGGGGGAUCGCCCCCCGUCAGCGAGGUUUCGCCCACGGGGGCGCUUCACG